rnacentral:rRNA from 1 species
AUAGGGGAGCCGUAGGGAAACCGAGUCUUAACCGGGCGUUAAGUUGCAGGGUAUAGACCCGAAACCCGGUGAUCUAGCCAUGGGCAGGUUGAAGGUUGGGUAACACUAACUGGAGGACCGAACCGACUAAUGUUGAAAAAUUAGCGGAUGACUUGUGGCUGGGGGUGAAAGGCCAAUCAAACCGGGAGAUAGCUGGUUCUCCCCGAAAGCUAUUUAGGUAGCGCCUCGUGAAUUCAUCUUCGGGGGUAGAGCACUGUUUCGGCUAGGGGGUCAUCCCGACUUACCAACCCGAUGCAAACUGCGAAUACCGGAGAAUGUUAUCACGGGAGACACACGGCGGGUGCUAACGUCCGUCGUGAAGAGGGAAACAACCCAGACCGCCAGCUAAGGUCCCAAAGUCAUGGUUAAGUGGGAAACGAUGUGGGAAGGCCCAGACAGCCAGGAUGUUGGCUUAGAAGCAGCCAUCAUUUAAAGAAAGCGUAAUAGCUCACUGGUCGAGUCGGCCUGCGCGGAAGAUGUAACGGGGCUAAACCAUGCACCGAAGCUGCGGCAGCGACACUGUGUGUUGUUGGGUAGGGGAGCGUUCUGUAAGCCUGCGAAGGUGGCCUGUGAGGGUUGCUGGAGGUAUCAGAAGUGCGAAUGCUGACAUAAGUAACGAUAAAGCGGGUGAAAAGCCCGCUCGCCGGAAGACCAAGGGUUCCUGUCCAACGUUAAUCGGGGCAGGGUGAGUCGACCCCUAAGGCGAGGCCGAAAGGCGUAGUCGAUGGGAAACAGGUUAAUAUUCCUGUACUUGGUGUUACUGCGAAGGGGGGACGGAGAAGGCUAUGUUGGCCGGGCGACGGUUGUCCCGGUUUAAGCGUGUAGGUGUGUGUUCCAGGUAAAUCCGGUUCACUUUAACACUGAGGCGUGAUGACGAGGCACUACGGUGCUGAAGCAACAAAUGCCCUGCUUCCAGGAAAAGCCUCUAAGCAUCAGGUAACAUCAAAUCGUACCCCAAACCGACACAGGUGGUCAGGUAGAGAAUACCAAGGCGCUUGAGAGAACUCGGGUGAAGGAACUAGGCAAAAUGGUGCCGUAACUUCGGGAGAAGGCACGCUGACAUGUAGGUGAAG